rnacentral:rRNA from 1 species
GCGGCGGACGGGUGAGUAACACGUAGGUAACCUGCCUUUAAGACUGGGAUAACUAUCGGAAACGAUAGCUAAGACCGGAUAACUGGUUUUCUCGCAUGAGAGAAUCAUAAAACACGGAGCAAUCUGUGGCUUAAAGAUGGGCCUGCGGCGCAUUAGCUAGUUGGUGAGGUAACGGCUCACCAAGGCGACGAUGCGUAGCCGACCUGAGAGGGUGAACGGCCACACUGGGACUGAGACACGGCCCAGACUCCUACGGGAGGCAGCAGUAGGGAAUCUUCCGCAAUGGACGCAAGUCUGACGGAGCAACGCCGCGUGAGUGAUGAAGGUUUUCGGAUCGUAAAGCUCUGUUGCCCUAGACGAACAGCAGGGNGAGUAACUGCUCUCUGUGUGACGGUAUAGGAGAAGAAAGCCCCGGCUAACUACGUGCCAGCAGCCGCGGUAAUACGUAGGGGGCAAGCGUUGUCCGGAAUUAUUGGGCGUAAAGCGCGCGCAGCGGUCAUUUAAGUCUGGUGUUUAAUCCUUGGGCUCAACCCCAGUUCGCAUCGGAAACUGGAUGACUUGAGUGU